AACGCACAUUGCACUCUCUGGUAUUCCGGAGAGUAUGCUUGUUUGAGUAUCUGUAAACAUCUCAAAUCUCUCUGCGCUUGCGCAAAAGAGAAUUGGAUUUGAGCGAUCCCGACUCCUUCGUCAGAAAGAGGAGGGUCGCUUGAAAUGCAGGUGCAGCUGGACAUUCUUCUGAGCUAAAAGCAUAUCUAUUUAGUCCCGUCAAACGGAUUAUUACUUUUGCUUCAGCUAAUAUAAAGGUCGAAUGAACUACCAACGCUGAUUGCAGGAAAACUCGUUCUUAACCGAACUUGUAAACUCGAUCUCAAAUCAAGUAAGACUACCCGCUGAACUUAA
rnacentral:misc_RNA from 2 species